GUGUUUGCAGGUGUAGCAUCAUCAAGAUUCACAUGCAAAUUAAAUGCAAGGUUGUGGCAGAUCUAUUUUUAAAGGGCCUUUUCAAAGUGAGAAUCUUGAUGAUGCUGCAUCAUCAAUAAA
rfam:Solanum tuberosum cultivar DM 1-3 516 R44 scf00301_45, whole genome shotgun sequence.